GCGGGUGUGGUGUAGCCUGGUAACACGAGGCCCUGCCACGGCUUUGCCCCGGGUUCAAAUCCCGGCACCCGCA
rfam:Aciduliprofundum boonei T469, complete genome.